UACGAAGGGGACUAGCGUUGUUCGGAAUUACUGGGCGUAAAGCGCACGUAGGCGGAUUUGUUAGUCAGGGGUGAAAUCCCGGGGCUCAACCUCGGAGCUGCCUUUGAUACUGCAAAUCUCGAGUCCGAUAGAGGUGGGUGGAAUUCCUAGUGUAGAGGUGAAAUUCGUAGAUAUUAGGAAGAACACCGGUGGCGAAGGCGGCCCACUGGAUCGGUACUGACGCUGAGGUGCGAAAGCGUGGGGAGCAAACAGG
rnacentral:rRNA from 1 species